rfam:Linderina pennispora strain ATCC 12442 DL89scaffold_49, whole genome shotgun sequence.
GAUUUCUUGGUGUAGUUGGUUAUCACGUCUGCCUAACACGCAGACGGUCGCCGGUUCGAACCCGGCAGAAAUCA